GAAGUUAGACAACCUUUUCAAAGUCAUAUGUCUAUUAAGAGUGAAAGUUAGGGCUUAACUGAGGUCUCCCUUGAGUCCGUAUUCUCUCUAUUAUGCUUCAGUGACUUGUAGAAGGCCGAUCAUACCUCCUACUUUCAAAAUUACUUUGUAUCUCAUGACCUAUCUAGGCUGGCCAGUAGCAUACUAGAGUGCAGAUAUUAGAACCUCAGUGUUGAAGCUGAUAAUGUUUAAACAAAAAAACAAAAAACAAAAGCAAAAACAAAAAACAGAUUGUGCUCGGUGAAUAUAACACCAAAUAACACUCAGGAAGGAAAGAUGGCCCGCCAUAGUUUUAUGUCACCCAUGAUGGCCAGAGCCCAAGAGGUUCCGUCUUCCAGAUGUAGGGGACAUGUCUUUUUAAAUAACAAAGUCAACCAAAACAUUCUGACGGUCCACCAACCCGAGAGUCUCUGCCUUUCUCAUUGCAAAGUCUGGGCUCCCCUCACAGCAGUUGUCUUCCUCAUGACUGACCACUCUUCUCAGGGAGAAGCAUCGCCCUUCCACAUUUUUUUGAAAAUGAAGAACUCUGCUCCUUAUGCCUGAGCAUAUCCUACAAGUUCCCAGAGGGAGUGAUCUAUUGUUUGACCCUAUACUUGAACCUGGCUUAAAGUUCCAGUAAUGUUGACUUGCCAAAUACUUGAUUUGUGGCAAGCCAAUUAAACUCUCCAAACCCCAGCUUCUUGAGCUGUAUAAUGGUCAUAAUAAAAGUAUUUCCAAAAAAAAAAAAAAGUAUUUCCCUUUUAGGCACCAUGAGAUCAUCUAUGUAAACUGCUUAGCACAGUCUCUGCCCCGUGUCACUUCAGGGAGUGUUAGCUUGUAUCACAAAUGGCUGCCCUCUGGGUCUGUUUUACCGUUUACAGAUAAGGAGAUAGACUGGCUCAGGUGCACCCUGGGACUUAACCUGCCUGCAGGGAGGAGACUGGUUGUUGACUGACGUGGACUGCAGCGGCUCAGAGGAGAAAGAGGCCAGGGUCAUGUUUGCACGCCUCUGGUUUGACCCAGGACACCUGGUUCCCUCACACAGACAUCAUAGGCUGCACUGGUCAGCCAUCUGCCAUGGGAGGUUAGGCUGAGUAUGUCCAAUUUGGACAAUGACCAGUGGCUCAGUGAGACGGGUCUUGGGCAGCCAAGGUCAAGGGUGGCAAGCUGGGACGAGGCUUGUGCUGAGUCAGACAAGAGGAAUUUUCAUAUUUCAGUGACGGUAGAAAACCACUCUGUUUGCAAAGCGGAUGGAGUGGGCUUCCAGAUGAGGUUUAGCAUGAGGUAAUCACCCACGGUAAAAUUUUCACUUUGUCAUUCUUCCAGUCCUCAGAGGAUGUGCUGUAAUCUGUUCCGUUGUCGAACAAGUUUCUGUUGAUCUGUAGUUUCAACAUUCUAGGCACUGGGAAGACAGAAAUAUGGGGGACGAGGUUUGCAGCCUCAAGCAGCACCUGCCCUUUCAUGAAGGAGAGAGUUAGAAGCAAACACAGAAAUAGAUAAUUACAGCACAAUGGAGUGAUUUUCAUAUCGCAGGGGUUUGUGUGCAUGGAGAUAGGCACUCAGCUCACCCUGUUGGCAUCAGGGAAAGUUCUGGAGGACGAAAGGUAAGCUGGAGUUUGCCAGGUGAGAAAGAAGGUAAGAAGGGGUAUGAAGAAAACAAUAUGCACCCCAUGUUGUUGAAAUGGACUUGUAAGUGUCACAGGUAAGGAGGGGUCCGAGUUCCUCGUAACAGCCCUACGGUGUCAUCCCCUUUGAGGCAGUUGUACUGUGUCAUCCUCUCAUGAGGGUCCAGCGUUGAUUUCAGUUCCUCUGAGGCCUCAGUCUCCAUGUCUGCCCCUCAGGGCUGUAGUCAGAAGAGAGAGAUGGGGAUGGGAAAUCACUGGCCUAGAGUUAAAUGUGAAGUAUCCUCUGCUACUCAGUCACAAGUACUUAGAGGACGGUUACUGGUUGGACAACAGUUCAGAGUAAGUGUGAGUCUGUGCGAAUGUCUUUUAAGACCCGCCUUCUCUAUCUGUAACGUGAUGUUCUCUGAGAUUUUCCUUAGCCGAGACCUAGAAUGAACCUGGGAAAGAAUAUUUAACCCAGAGCCCAUGAUCCACAUGGCUCACUUACCUUCAAUGUUCCUUGGUUUGUUUUCCAGGAGGACUUUCUGCCACUGGAACAUCUAGUUACGGCCCCAGAGCGAAUCAGGGGCACUCUUUGACCACGCCCUCCAGCUCAGACUCCCGAGAGCCCCCCUGCUCCAAACCAGCCCUCAUGGAGCUGCAGUCUGUGUACAGCAAUGUGAACCCUGGGCACGGCGACCUCAUUUAUUCCCAGGUCUGGAGUAUCCAGCAUACGAAAGGAAAUCCAGAAAACUCACCAAGGAUGCAUCAAGAAGAUAAAGAACACGCAAUCAUCUAUUCAGAGUUGAAGAAAAGACAUCCAGAUGACUGUGCAGGGCAGGCCAGCAGUAGAGGCAGAGCCCAUGAAGACGCUGCAGAGAACUAUGAGAAUGUGACGUGUGCAUCGUCAGCCUUGGAGCACUAGCCCCGUAGAGUGGCCCGCAGAGGCCCCAGGAGGAAAACAGCUUGGCCAUUCUCCUUGUUCUUGUCCAGCACUCACCCUUGUUCCCUCCCAGCGAGCUGAGCUGUAGAAGAUGUGAGGUCAUGGGGAAUGUCUGCCAACGUCCUCUGUGCCUGGGAACGGAGUGGGCAGCGUUUGAGCAAAGCUGCAUUGUCUUCAGAGUAGAUACCCACGUGGAGGUGUGAGGACCUUCAGCUCCUGGGCCUGUGGAUUGGAGGAGGGGGUGUCACAACGGUGUGUGAUCAGGACCAUUUGAUCUACGUGUGGUGGGAGCUGUUAGCCUACCAUCUGUGUUUAAAUUUGCUUUAAACCUUUUGUUUCCUUUUCUGUGUGGUUGAUAGUGGCAUUACUGAGGUUCUAGGCUAUGUACUAUGUUCCAGCUAGCAAGCUGCAAAUGACCAAAAGAACUUAUUCUGGCUACAUAUACACUAUUCCUUCAUGAGAUAUGUACCAGUACUAAGAAUUUUUUUUUUUAAAAAUAAUGCAGUCUAUUUGAUGGGAGAGAGCUUCCAAAUUGUCUGGUUAAUUACGUUAUGGAAUGAAUAGCGUUCCCUCAAAAUUUAUAUUUUCAACCUCUAACUAUGCUUGGAGAUAAGGCUUUUAAAGAGGUAAUUAAGGUUAAAUGAAUUAGAAGGUGGGCCCUAAUCUGAUUGGACUGAUGUCCUUACAAAAAGAAGAGACAUUAGCAGCAUCUCCAUCUCCCUUUGUGCACGCAGAAGAGAGGCCAUGUGGGGGUAGAACAAGGAAACAGCCAUCUGCAAAGCCCGCUGGGAGCCAGGAAGAGAGGUCUCACCAGAAGCCAGCCCUGCCAGCACCUUGAUCUUAGACUUCCAACCUCGAGGACUGUCUGAUGCUGAAGUCACCUAAUCUGUGGCCUUUUGUGAUGGCAACUAGAGAAGACUAAUGCAUAUACAUAGCCAUACAGAUGAUAAAUGAUUGCUGAUGAUGAUAGAUGAUAGAUAGGUAGAUAGGUAGAUAUGCCGAUAUACAACACACACCCAUCCAACCCUCACAGUUGUGGUCUUGAAGAUAAUUCCUUUCUCACUGGAUAAAACAUUCCCAUACCUGUAGGAGCUCAGUUUUACUGUUUAAUUAUUCAACAUCCACUGUUUGAAGGCUACAGAAGCAACAGCACCAACCUUGGAAAUUCAGGAGCGCCAAUGAUUGACAUGACUCAAGUGGCAAAGCUUAAUGUCCCUCAGGAGCCCUCAUGGCCUGAGCUGGUAGUGGAUGUGGAAAUACAAGGCAACCAGUAGGCUCAAAAAGGGCACCCCCUCCCAUUGCUUAAAGACUCCUAAUCAAUUCUUCAGUAGACUGACAAACAUUGAGUGUUUGCCACUGAAGAAAAAAAAAUUUUUUUUAAGCAUUCCAUUGUGCUUAAGUUUCAGGGAAAAUGGCAGAAUCACUUUUACCCAUAAGUUUUGCUGAGGCAGGAAAGGAAUAACUAAAAUUGUUAGCCUCUAUUACACUAUAGUUCUGAAAACAAAAGACCUUAAGAAAAGCUAGUAAGUUCAUUGAUGACUAAUACAAUUUAUGGAUGUCAUUGAUUUUGCAUCAGCCAUUAUUCAUGACUUUGGUUAAAUAAUUUAAUGAUGUUUUGCAAACCUUGCAAAUAACUUGUUCAUAAAGGUAGUAAGUAUAUUUCAAAUUUUAUGCUUUUCCCCUUGAGAGUCAGAAGCUUAGAUAACAGAAAGUAUAACAUAUAGCAAAAUUCUAGGUGCCCUUUGUUUGUGUCAUCUGUGGAAUCAGUCGUGUGGUGCUCUGGUGUGAUCUGAAGCUGCCCACUGCGUGUGCUGGUUCUGGAGCCUCUUGGUAGG